GAGGCGCCUCCCACCUUGAUGCGGACCUCACCGGCCUCAGGAGGAGCCACCUCGAUCUCCUCCAUGGCGGCCGGCGUGUUGGGCGCCCAGGACACCGCCGCCCUGCACCGGAUGACCUGGCGGCCACAGAAACAUCCGGCAACAGGAUGGAAACGUUCAGACGCUCGAUGACGUCACUGAGGAGCGACGCUCAGCACGGCCCGGACGCUGCGGAGACACAAACACCCAGUCAGGACCGUUUCAAUCAUGAAGGGAACAUCUGAGCUUCGGGUCGCACCACCGGCCGUUCUUCAUCAGCUCCACGGCUUCGUUGACCUGGUCCAGCCUCAGGUUGUGGGUGAUGAACUCGUCCACCAUCAGCUUCCUGUCCAGGCUGCAUCGAUCAGACAGACUCUGUCCAGCGGCGCGGCCACAGAAAUCUCCUUCACCACGGUGAACUCAGAGCUGAUGCCCCCAGCAGCUGAUCCUGGAUUCAUUCAGAACCAUCCAUGAAUUCAUUUCUGCAGCCUAAUGAACACAUGAUGAUGCAAUGAAGGGAUGAGCUCCGUACUCGCCGACACACAUGUUGGUUGCAGACGCGGCAUUCCCGACACUGAGGCAUGAACAGCGGAUCCCCGUGGUAAAGAUUUAAUCUGUGCUCCACACCGUCAGGUUGAUCCUGAGGAACCAGGCGGUCCGGCUGGUUCUACUGACCCGGCUGGAACUCUGUGACCCCGCCCGCCCGUCCGUCCAUCUGCUCAUUUGUUGUCCAGUAUUUCUUAUUUUAAAGCCAGAUUCCCUUCUGCUGAGUAUCUCUGACGUUUCCUGAUGUUCCUCUGCUAAAACGCUGUUAUUGCUUCAUUGUUGACCUCAGCUGACGGAACAACGAGUUUCCUGUUGUGUUUCAGGUUCUCUGCUGCUUUAGCCAACGUCUGUCUGGUUGUUUCUUGUCAAUCAGUUGCAACAACUUGUUAACAUCAACACGCUACACAAAGACUUAUUAGCAGAAUUAGAGUCAUGUAGGUUAAUAAUGACCUUUUCUAACAGACACAACUCAUAAAGAGGCUGAAAUAUAAUAAACACUAUGAGCUACCUGGA